rnacentral:rRNA from 1 species
UACAGAGGGUGCAAACGUUGCUCGGAAUUACUGGGCGUAAAGCGUAUGUAGGCGGCUUUUCAAGUCAGGUGUGAAAUCCCAUGGCUUAACCAUGGAACUGCAUUUGAAACUGUAAAGCUUGAGUAUUGGAGAGGAUGGUAGAAUUCCUGGUGUAGUGGUGAAAUACGUAGAUAUCAGGAGGAAUACCGGUGGCGAAGGCGGCCAUCUGGCCAAAUACUGACGCUGAGAUACGAAAGUGUGGGGAUCAAACAGG